CUUUGUUUCUGCAGCAAUUCACAAAAGCCUCUCACUCUCACUUUCCGUGACCCAAAGCAAUGCUGCAGAUGCAUCUCUGCCUCUGAAUAUAUAAAUUUUCUUUUCACUGCUAUGCCGCAAAACUUCUGAUCCCACCGGCCACCACUCUCUCUCUCUCUCUCUCUAUAUAUAUAUAUAUAUAUAUCCCAUGGCUACUGUUAUUUCUUCUUUCUCUUUCUCCACUCUCACUCAAUCUUCUUCGCAGAGGAACCUCACCACACUCUCUUCCAAUUCACCAACCUUUCGCUUCCGCGUUGGUUUCUCCUGCCUCAAUGUUGGAGUUCGAGCUUCCAAUUCCGCUUCCAAAAUGGUCGUUCGUUGCUCCUCUUCCGUCGCAGAACCUCCAACUGUUUCUGAGACAAAGUUAAAUUUUCUCAAGGCAUAUAAGCGACCAAUUCCUAGUAUCUACAACACCGUGCUGCAGGAGCUCAUUGUCCAGCAACAUUUAAUGAGAUACAAGAGAUCGUAUCGCUAUGACGCUGUAUUUGCCCUUGGCUUCGUCACUGUAUAUGAGCAACUCAUGGAAGGGUAUCCAAGUGAUGAGGACCGAGAUGCCAUCUUCCAAGCAUACAUUCAGGCAUUGAAAGAAGAUCCUGAACAAUACAGAGUAGAUGCAAAGAAAUUAGAAGAGUGGGCUCGGUCUCAAAACCCAAAUUCGCUAUUAGAAUUUUCAUCUAGAGAAGGAGAAGUUGAGGGUAUAUUAAAGGAUAUUGCAGAAAGAGCAGGAGGAAAGGGGGACUUCAGUUAUAGCCGUUUCUUUGCAAUAGGCCUCUUUCGUCUUCUUGAGUUAGCAAAUGCAAUGGAACCAACAAUUUUGGAAAAGAUAAAACUAACAAUAUUAAGCAUAGGAGAUGAUACGACAAUGGCAUUGUGGAGGAUGCAUUUAAUAUCAUGAUUCUCUGUGCGGUUUUGAAUGUCAACAAAAGAAGUGUGGAUCGGGACUUGGAUGUGUAUCGUAACUUGCUUUCCAAAUUGGUUCAAGCUAAAGAGCUUCUAAAGGAAUAUGUUGACAGGGAGAAGAAGAAAAGAGAAGAAAGGGCUGAACCACAAAAGUCUAAUGAGGCCAUUACACAACAACAACAGUUUUCUAGCCUUUAGUUAUGGGGUUCCUUUGGAAUGAUCACCUUGUGAAGAUUUGGUCUUGACUUGCUUUUUUUUUUCUGUUGGUCUUUGGCAUGGUAAUCAGAGUGGGGCACUUCUAUCAUCAUGGUUUUGCCUACUGUACUUGGUGCACUUCUUUCAUGGUGAUCCAGCUAAAUCCUGCUUUAUGCUCAACCACAAUUUACCUGUCCAACACAGUCUUGUGUAAUCUUUUCUUACAUGUAUUUUUUUUUUUCCAUCACACGGUCGAAGAUGUAUUUUUUAGUUCUCAAAUACAUGCCCGAAAGCAUAUGUUCUGGUAAUUGAAAUUCUUCAUAUUUCAGCAUCUCCCAUUUUCUGGGGUGGAUGUUUAGUUCACAUCCAUGUACAAAAUAAGGUUUCACAACCAGAAUAACAGUAUACAAAAGCAUUUUAGAUUCAUGAACAAGACUUUAUUUCCUUCUUAA